GACGAACGCUGGCGGCGUGCUUAACACAUGCAAGUCGAACGCUGAAGCUCAGCUUUUGUUGGGUGGAUGAGUGGCGAACGGGUGAGUAACACGUGAGUAACCUGCCCCCUUCUUUGGGAUAACGCCCGGAAACGGGUACUAAUACUGGAUAUUCACUGGUCUUCGCAUGGGGGUUGGUGGAAAGGGUUUUUCUGGUGGGGGAUGGGCUCGCGGCCUAUCAGCUUGUUGGUGGGGUGAUGGCCUACCAAGGCUUUGACGGGUAGCCGGCCUGAGAGGGUGACCGGUCACAUUGGGACUGAGAUACGGCCCAGACUCCUACGGGAGGCAGCAGUGGGGAAUAUUGCACAAUGGGCGCAAGCCUGAUGCAGCGACGCCGCGUGAGGGAUGGAGGCCUUCGGGUUGUGAACCUCUUUCGCUCAUGGUCAAGCCGCAACAAUGGUUGUGGUGAGGGUAGUGGGUAAAGAAGCGCCGGCUAACUACGUG
rnacentral:rRNA from 1 species